rnacentral:misc_RNA from 1 species
GAUGAAGAACGCAGCGAAAUGCGAUAAGUAGUGUGAAUUGCAGAAUUCAGUGAAUCAUCGAAUCUUUGAACGCACAUUGCGCCCCAUGGUAUUCCGUGGGGCAUGCCUGUUCGAGCGUCAUUUACCCCCUCAAGCUCCGCUUGGUGUUGGGCGUCUGUCCCGCUUCGCGCGCGGACUCGCCCCAAAGGUAUUGGCAGCGGUCGUGCCAGCUUCUCGCGCAGCACAUUGCGCUUCUCGAGGCACCGGUGGGCCCGCGUCCAUCAAGCUCACCCCCCCAGUUUGACCUCGGAUCAGGUAGGGAUACCCGCUGAACUUAAGCAUAUUAAUAAGCGGAGGA